rnacentral:rRNA from 1 species
AGCGAACGCUGGCGGCAGGCCUAACACAUGCAAGUCGAACGAGACCUUCGGGUCUAGUGGCGGACGGGUGAGUAACACGUGGGAACGUGCCUUAGGUUCGGAAUAACUCAGGGAAACUUGUGCUAAUACCGAAUGUGCCCUUCGGGGGAAAGAUUUAUCGCCUUUAGAGCGGCCCGCGUCUGAUUAGCUAGUUGGUGAGGUAAUGGCUCACCAAGGCUACGAUCAGUAGCUGGUCUGAGAGGAUGGCCAGCCACAUUGGGACUGAGACACGGCCCAAACUCCUACGGGAGGCAGCAGUGGGGAAUCUUGCGCAAUGGGCGAAAGCCUGACGCAGCCAUGCCGCGUGAAUGAUGAAGGUCUUAGGAUUGUAAAAUUCUUUCACCGGGGACGAUAAUGACGGUACCCGGAGAAGAAGCCCCGGCUAACUUCGUGCCAGCCGCCGCCGUAACAC